UACGUAGGGUGCAAGCGUUGUCCGGAAUUAUUGGGCGUAAAGAGCUCGUAGGCGGUUUGUCGCGUCUGCUGUGAAAACGCGAGGCUCAACCUCGCGCCUGCAGUGGGUACGGGCAGACUAGAGUGCGGUAGGGGAGAUUGGAAUUCCUGGUGUAGCGGUGGAAUGCGCAGAUAUCAGGAGGAACACCGAUGGCGAAGGCAGAUCUCUGGGCCGUGACUGACGCUGAGGAGCGAAAGCGUGGGGAGCGAACAGG
rnacentral:rRNA from 1 species